GAGGUUAUCACAUUAAAUGGAAUUAGAAAGCUCUGGGUCUGCAAUUUAAAUCUUCAGGAUUUGUGUCUUUAUUACUAAGUCCAUUAUUCCAUUAUACUGGUCAGAAGAGUGAACCAGGAAACAGAGGGGACGGUCUUUUAUGCGGCAGCAGGGAAAGAGCUGGUUGCCUGAUGAUACUUAACCAUUGGGAUUGUUGAGAAGCAAUUUUUCAGCUUGCAGAUCCUAAGGAAGCAGCUCCAACUCAGAUCCUUCCUCAUCAUUGUUUCUCAUCAGGACUGGACGAUUCUGCCCAUGCAGGUUUUUGGCAUCUAUGGAUCAAGUUUUUGGAAGGUGAGAAUGAUAAAAAUGAAGACCCCAAGAUACAGAAAGUUGUGUUAAGUCACUGAAGUGGUGACCGAAUGACCUGAGCGUCUUCCAGACACAUGUAUUGCCAGAUUUUGUCUUUCUGUGAAUGUACAUUUCAUUGCUCUUCUUGAGGAGACGAAUAUCCAUGAGUAUAGUACGUAUUCAUAUAGGAAGCAACUAAAAAGUACUUAAGAUGUCUUUGCUGUUUAACUUUCUGAUUUCUAGAGCUAUGUCUCCACCUGAUGGGAGGUAAUGGAAUUACGGUAAAUUUACAAGGGCAACUUGAGUAGAGUCAUGCUUAUUACAUCAGCUAGAAAAUCACCCAGCUAAUUAUAGGAAACAGAGAAAAAAAUCCCCAAAACAAUGAUGACCAUAAAAUAUGUAGUUUGCUGAAGUUACAUUUUCUUAUUGCAGUGAAUUACUUAAGAUGUAUUUCUUCCCUAUAGAGAGCUAUACUGUUUUAAUGCAUGUACUAUUGGGAACAUUGAAAAGCAUCAAUGCUAUUUCAUUUAAGGGGUGUUGUUGUUGCGCUUCUCAAAAAGUAUUUCUUUAUUUGCUGAUGUGUAUUUAAUAAAAGGAUAAACUUC